rnacentral:rRNA from 1 species
GGUUAAGCGACUAAGCGUACACGGUGGAUGCCCUGGCAGUCAGAGGCGAUGAAGGACGUGCUAAUCUGCGAUAAGCGUCGGUAAGGUGAUAUGAACCGUUAUAACCGGCGAUUUCCGAAUGGGGAAACCCAGUGUGUUUCGACACACUAUCAUUAACUGAAUCCAUAGGUUAAUGAGGCGAACCGGGGGAACUGAAACAUCUAAGUACCCCGAGGAAAAGAAAUCAACCGAGAUUCCCCCAGUAGCGGCGAGCGAACGGGGAGCAGCCCAGAGCCUGAAUCAGUGUGUGUGUUAGUGGAAGCGUCUGGAAAGGCGCGCGAUACAGGGUGACAGCCCCGUACACAAAAAUGCACAUGCUGUGAGCUCGAUGAGUAGGGCGGGACACGUGGUAUCCUGUCUGAAUAUGGGGGGACCAUCCUCCAAGGCUAAAUACUCCUGACUGACCGAUAGUGAACCAGUACCGUGAGGGAAAGGCGAAAAGAACCCCGGCGAGGGGAGUGAAAAAGAACCUGAAACCGUGUACGUACAAGCAGUGGGAGCACGCUUAGGCGUGUGACUGCGUACCUUUUGUAUAAUGGGUCAGCGACUUAUAUUCUGUAGCAAGGUUAACCGAAUAGGGGAGCCGAAGGGAAACCGAGUCUUAACUGGGCGUUAAGUUGCAGGGUAUAGACCCGAAACCCGGUGAUCUAGCCAUGGGCAGGUUGAAGGUUGGGUAACACUAACUGGAGGACCGAACCGACUAAUGUUGAAAAAUUAGCGGAUGACUUGUGGCUGGGGGUGAAAGGCCAAUCAAACCGGGAGAUAGCUGGUUCUCCCCGAAAGCUAUUUAGGUAGCGCCUCGUGAAUUCAUCUCCGGGGGUAGAGCACUGUUUCGGCAAGGGGGUCAUCCCGACUUACCAACCCGAUGCAAACUGCGAAUACCGGAGAAUGUUAUCACGGGAGACACACGGCGGGUGCUAACGUCCGUCGUGAAGAGGGAAACAACCCAGACCGCCAGCUAAGGUCCCAAAGUCAUGGUUAAGUGGGAAACGAUGUGGGAAGGCCCAGACAGCCAGGAUGUUGGCUUAGAAGCAGCCAUCAUUUAAAGAAAGCGUAAUAGCUCACUGGUCGAGUCGGCCUGCGCGGAAGAUGUAACGGGGCUAAACCAUGCACCGAAGCUGCGGCAGCGACACUAUGUGUUGUUGGGUAGGGGAGCGUUCUGUAAGCCUGUGAAGGUGUGCUGUGAGGCAUGCUGGAGGUAUCAGAAGUGCGAAUGCUGACAUAAGUAACGAUAAAGCGGGUGAAAAGCCCGCUCGCCGGAAGACCAAGGGUUCCUGUCCAACGUUAAUCGGGGCAGGGUGAGUCGACCCCUAAGGCGAGGCCGAAAGGCGUAGUCGAUGGGAAACAGGUUAAUAUUCCUGUACUUGGUGUUACUGCGAAGGGGGGACGGAGAAGGCUAUGUUGGCCGGGCGACGGUUGUCCCGGUUUAAGCGUGUAGGCUGGUUUUCCAGGCAAAUCCGGAAAAUCAAGGCUGAGGCGUGAUGACGAGGCACUACGGUGCUGAAGCAACAAAUGCCCUGCUUCCAGGAAAAGCCUCUAAGCAUCAGGUAACAUCAAAUCGUACCCCAAACCGACACAGGUGGUCAGGUAGAGAAUACCAAGGCGCUUGAGAGAACUCGGGUGAAGGAACUAGGCAAAAUGGUGCCGUAACUUCGGGAGAAGGCACGCUGAUAUGUAGGUGAAGUCCCUCGCGGAUGGAGCUGAAAUCAGUCGAAGAUACCAGCUGGCUGCAACUGUUUAUUAAAAACACAGCACUGUGCAAACACGAAAGUGGACGUAUACGGUGUGACGCCUGCCCGGUGCCGGAAGGUUAAUUGAUGGGGUCAGCGCAAGCGAAGCUCUUGAUCGAAGCCCCGGUAAACGGCGGCCGUAACUAUAACGGUCCUAAGGUAGCGAAAUUCCUUGUCGGGUAAGUUCCGACCUGCACGAAUGGCGUAAUGAUGGCCAGGCUGUCUCCACCCGAGACUCAGUGAAAUUGAACUCGCUGUGAAGAUGCAGUGUACCCGCGGCAAGACGGAAAGACCCCGUGAACCUUUACUAUAGCUUGACACUGAACAUUGAGCCUUGAUGUGUAGGAUAGGUGGGAGGCUUUGAAGUGUGGACGCCAGUCUGCAUGGAGCCGACCUUGAAAUACCACCCUUUAAUGUUUGAUGUUCUAACGUUGACCCGUGAUCCGGGUUGCGGACAGUGUCUGGUGGGUAGUUUGACUGGGGCGGUCUCCUCCUAAAGAGUAACGGAGGAGCACGAAGGUUGGCUAAUCCUGGUCGGACAUCAGGAGGUUAGUGCAAUGGCAUAAGCCAGCUUGACUGCGAGCGUGACGGCGCGAGCAGGUGCGAAAGCAGGUCAUAGUGAUCCGGUGGUUCUGAAUGGAAGGGCCAUCGCUCAACGGAUAAAAGGUACUCCGGGGAUAACAGGCUGAUACCGCCCAAGAGUUCAUAUCGACGGCGGUGUUUGGCACCUCGAUGUCGGCUCAUCACAUCCUGGGGCUGAAGUAGGUCCCAAGGGUAUGGCUGUUCGCCAUUUAAAGUGGUACGCGAGCUGGGUUUAGAACGUCGUGAGACAGUUCGGUCCCUAUCUGCCGUGGGCGCUGGAGAACUGAGGGGGGCUGCUCCUAGUACGAGAGGACCGGAGUGGACGCAUCACUGGUGUUCGGGUUGUCAUGCCAAUGGCACUGCCCGGUAGCUAAAUGCGGAAGAGAUAAGUGCUGAAAGCAUCUAAGCACGAAACUUGCCCCGAGAUGAGUUCUCCCUGACUCCUUGAGAGUCCUGAAGGAACGUUGAAGACGACGACGUUGAUAGGCCGGGUGUGUAAGCGCAGCGAUGCGUUGAGCUAACCGGUACUAAUGAACCGUGAGGCUUAACCUU